AUUGAACGCUGGCGGUAUGCCUUACAUAUGCAAGUCGAACGGUAGAGGGGCAACCCUUGAGAGUGGCGAACGGGUGAGUAAUACAUCGGAACGUGCCCAGUCGUGGGGGAUAACGUAGCGAAAGCUACGCUAAUACCGCAUACGACCUGAGGGUGAAAGCGGGGGAUCGCAAGACCUCGCGCGAUUGGAGCGGCCGAUGGCAGAUUAGGUAGUUGGUGGGGUAAAGGCCUACCAAGCCUGCGAGCUGUAGCUGGUCUGAGAGGACGACCAGCCACACUGGGACUGAGACACGGCCCAGACUCCUACGGGAGGCAGCAGUGGGGAAUUUUGGACAAUGGGCGAAAGCCUGAUCCAGCCAUACCGCGUGCGGGAAGAAGGCCUUCGGGUUGUAAACCGCUUUUGUCAGGGAAGAAAUCUUCUGGGUUAAUACCUCGGGAGGAUGACGGUACCUGAAGAAUAAGCACCGGCUAACUACGUGCCAGCAGCCGCAGUAA
rnacentral:rRNA from 1 species